GAUGAACGCUGGCGGCGUGCUUAACACAUGCAAGUCGAACGAUGAAGCCUCUUUUGCUGCUUGGAUUAGUGGCAAACGUGUGUGUAACACCUGAGUAACCUGCCCUUAACUCUGUAAUAAGCCUGGGAAAUUGCUUCUACUACCUGCUAUGAGCGUCCACCGCAUGGUGGGUGUUGGACCUUUUUAUCUGUUUUGGAUGGACUCGGGGACUAUUAGCUUGUUGGUUAGGUACUGGCUCACCAAGGCGACUAAGGCUAGUCGGCCUGAGAGGGUGACCGGCCACAAGGGGACUGAGAGACGGAGCAGAGUGCUACGGGAGGCAGCAGUCGGGAAUAUUGCACAGUGGGCGCAAGCGUAAUGCAGAGACGCCGCGUGAGGGAUGACGGCCUUCAGGUUGUAAAAAUGUUUCAGUAAAGAAGAAGCGAAAGUGACGGUACCUGAAGAAGAAGCACCGGCUAACUACGUG
rnacentral:rRNA from 1 species